GACGAACGCUGGCGGCGUGCUUAACACAUGCGAGUCGAACGGAAAGGCCCUGCUUUUGUGGGGUGCUCGAGUGGCGAACGGGUGAGUAACACGUGAGUAACCUGCCCUUGACUUUGGGAUAACUUCAGGAAACUGGGGCUAAUACCGGAUAGGAGCUCCUGCUGCAUGGUGGGGGUUGGAAAGUUUCGGCGGUUGGGGAUGGACUCGCGGCUUAUCAGCUUGUUGGUGGGGUAGUGGCUUACCAAGGCUUUGACGGGUAGCCGGCCUGAGAGGGUGACCGGGCACAUUGGGACUGAGAUACUGCCCAGACUCCUACGGGAGGCAGCAGUGGGGAAUCUUGCACAAUGGGCGGAAGCCUGAUGCAGCAACGCCGCGUGCGGGAUGACGGCCUUCGGGUUGUAAACCGCUUUCGCCUGUGACGAAGCGUGAGUGACGGUAAUGGGUAAAGAAGCACCGGCUAACUACGUG
rnacentral:rRNA from 1 species